ACUCUCUUCACUCUCUUCACUCUCUUCACUCUCUUCACUCUCUUCACUCUCUUCACUCUCUUCACUCUCUUCACUCUCUUCACUCUCUUCACUCUCUUCACUCUUCACACUCUUCACUAUUCUUACUCUACUUCUUCAUUUUCACUCACUUCAUUUUGCUUCUAACUAUAACCCUUCACUUCUAACCACCACCUCCAUGCUAUGUUUUCUGUGCAUCAACACAAAGUUUAUAUUUUUAUGCUCCUUUUUUGAUCAUGGUCUCAAGAGAAUCUUCAAUCUCUAUCUGGGUUUAGGUAGGAAGACAAAGAGAUCAUUCACCUUCAAGCUUUCAACUUCUUUGCUGGACUCUUCACUUUUGUUUAGAGGUUUUUAUGUCUUGUUUGUUCCAAUUUGUUCUCAAUGUUUACUGUCAUUUUGUGUUAAUUGUUUUGGUUGGUAUGUGUUGUGGACUUGUGAUAUUGCUUAUUUUUCAAUUUGAUGCCUUUUAAAUUUGUAUCAUGAUACUGUUUUUGACUUCUAUUAUUAGUAAUUUGAGGCUUGAGACCUUUUCGAUUUGUAUAAUUUUAUCGAUAUGUUGGAUAAAGGCUUGGUUGUUGUUGUUUGAAUCAACAUGUUAUAUAAGCUAAGGCCUGAGGCCUUUUGGAUAUGUCUAAUUGUAUUUGUAUGUUGUUGGAUAAUUUGAGGCCAGAGGCCUUUUACAUUUGUUCAUGAUUGUAUUGUUUUGAUGUGCAUAAACAGUAAUUUGAGGCCAGAGGCCUUUUGAAUUUACAUCUUGUAACAUUUCUUGUCAUUGAAGUUAUGGUUUUGACCAACCUUUCUUCCGUCCUUUCAGUUAAGAUCUGAAUUUUCAAUUCAUAGCGACACUAUGAAAUUUAUAGGCUGAACAAACUGGUUUUAGGAUAAGAUGUGUUAUGUUCUGACACUCAUUUCUUAAAUCCUUGUAGAAAUGUUUAGAGUAAAAAGUGCUCUGUUUCUGGCUUUGAUUUCGAACAUUCAUUGGUUAUUAUUUGGUUAGCAGGUUGUUCCUGCUUGGCAUUGUUGCUUGGUAUUCAGUAGAGGCUAUAGCUGUGCAUGACCAACUUUGUUAAAUGUUCUAAAGGUCCGAUACAGAAUUUAUAGGUCCCGAGACAAUCAAUAUCUUUCGGAAGCAGUUGCAGUUUUUGCUGAGGUAAAACCAUUGUUCUGUUCAUUUCAAUUUUCUUAGUUACUGUUGUUUAAUAUUGACUCUUCUUUUUCCCUUCCGCCCUUCUAGAAUGUGUGUAUUUCAUAACAACUAUGGUCUAUAUAUUAUGUGCUGGAAAUGAUCUUGCAUAUCAUUUUCAUGACUUUAGGCUGCCAUAUGGACGAUAUCA
rnacentral:lncRNA from 1 species